UUUUAUUCUCUUCACCUUUUUCUCCAAAUUUUUCUUUCCCUCCACUUUUCUCCUCCGGACCUCUACUAAACAUAGGGUUAGUUUGUACAAUUAUUGAAUCUUACCACCACAUUCAUUCAAAAUUAUAAUUUGUUUCAUAGCUUUUGUUUUCAAAAUUUAUAAAAAAAAAAAAAACAAAGAGUAAGACGAAACAGCGGUUCAGAAAGCCCCAUCUGUCCUCACCCAUGGCAUCAUCGCAUUGCUGAAGCGAUUGGGGUUUGGGAUUCUCGGGGCCGCCUACGUUUACAUGGUUCUGGUUCUUGUUUUGAUUUUGGCUGUCGUUUUGGGUGUUGGGUUGGUCUGAAUGUGAGUAGAGGAGCCUAUGGUUUUGAACGAAAGAUUGCAUUUUUAUUUCACCGAACCUCACCUGAGUGCUCUGUUCUCAUUUGGGGGUUGGCAAGAUUUUGAGAUGGGUCACAAGAAAAAACCAGUUAUGGGAGUUCCAUUGGGUCAUACUUUCUCUGACUCUGUGGUUCUUUUGAUGCCUGAAUCUGGUUUCAAUAGAGAGGUUGGUGUUUUUCAGGCUUGCUGUGCCUGAUUUUAGGCUGGAUGAAUUGGUAGUCAACACACAAGAUUGACUAUUAUAAAACUGUAAUUAGGUUGCUAGUGGCUUCCUUCAAUUCACUUUGGGUCAAAAGAAAUUUUAGCUAUCUUAAUUGAUUAUUUUUAAUUA